rnacentral:rRNA from 1 species
AUUGAACGCUGGCGGAAUGCUUUACACAUGCAAGUCGAACGAUGAACCUUAGCUUGCUAAGGGAAUUAGUGGCGAACGGGUGAGUAAUGUAUCGGAACGUAUCCAAUAAUGGGGGAUAACUAGUCGAAAGAUUAGCUAAUACCGCAUACGUCCUACGGGAGAAAGCUAGGAACCUUCGGGCCUGGCGUUAAUGGAGCGGCCGAUAUCUGAUUAGCUAGUUGGUGGGGUAAAGGCUCACCAAGGCGACGAUCAGUAGCUGGUCUGAGAGGACGACCAGCCACACUGGAACUGAGACACGGUCCAGACUCCUACGGGAGGCAGCAGUGGGGAAUUUUGGACAAUGGGCGAAAGCCUGAUCCAGCCAUUCCGCGUGAGUGAAGAAGGCCUUCGGGUUGUAAAGCUCUGUCGCAAGGGAAGAAAACUUAAGCUCUAACAUAGCUUGAGGUUGACGGUACCUUGAUAAGAAGCACCGGCUAACUACGUGCCAGCAGCCGCCGUAA